rnacentral:rRNA from 1 species
GAACGGACUCUUCGGAGUUAGUGGCGGACGGGUGAGUAACGCGUGAGAAUCUACCCUUAGGUUGGGGACAACAGUUGGAAACGACUGCUAAUACCCAAUGUGCCGAGAGGUGAAAGGUUUACUGCCUGAGGAUGAGCUCGCGUCUGAUUAGCUAGUUGGUGGGGUAAGAGCGUACCAAGGCGACGAUCAGUAGCUGGUCUGAGAGGAUGAUCAGCCACACUGGGACUGAGACACGGCCCAGACUCCUACGGGAGGCAGCAGUGGGGAAUAUUGGACAAUGGGCGCAAGCCUGAUCCAGCCAUGCCGCGUGAGUGAAGAAGGCCUUAGGGUUGUAAAGCUCUUUCACCCGUGACGAUAAUGACGGUAGCGGGAGAAGAAGCCCCGGCUAACUCCGUGCCAGCAGCCGCGGUAAUACGGAGGGGGCUAGCGUUGUUCGGAAUUACUGGGCGUAAAGCGCGCGUAGGCGGCUUGAUCAGUUGGGCGUGAAAGGCCUGGGCUCAACCCGGGAACUGCGCUCAAUACGGUCAGGCUUGAGUUCGGAAGAGGGUAGUGGAACUCCCAGUGUAGAGGUGAAAUUCGUAGAUAUUGGGAAGAACACCAGUGGCGAAGGCGGCUACCUGGUCCGAAACUGACGCUGAUGCGCGAAAGCGUGGGGAGCAAAC